rnacentral:ncRNA from 1 species
GAAAGUUGAAAAGUACUUUGAAGAGAGAGUAAACAGUGCGUGAAACCGCUCAAAGGUAAACGGGUGGAGUUGAACUGCAAGCCCUGGGAAUUCAGCUGAUGAGUGUGAGUAUAUGUACUUGAUUUUAAGCAGACGAGAAAAGGGAGAACCAAUUUUGUUCCUAUUAAAUUAUCAGGAGACUCUAGUGAAGUACUACAAAUCCGCUCUCCAUCUGUCGCCUCGAAAAGCUU